rfam:Triticum aestivum genome assembly, contig: Triticum_aestivum_CS42_TGACv1_scaffold_049473_1BS
UUUAUACUCCCUCCGUCCGGAGAUACUUGUCGAAGAAAUGGAUAAAAAUAGAUGUAUAUAGAACUUAAAUACGUCUAGAUACAUCCAUCUCUGUGACAAGUAUUUCCGGACAGAGGGAGUAGUAU